rnacentral:rRNA from 1 species
UACGUAGGGUGCAAGCGUUGUCCGGAAUUAUUGGGCGUAAAGAGCUCGUAGGCGGUUUGUCGCGUCUGCUGUGAAAACUCGGGGCUUAACUCCGGGCCUGCUGUGGGUACGGGCAGACUAGAGUGCGGUAGGGGAGACUGGAAUUCCUGGUGUAGCGGUGAAAUGCGCAGAUAUCAGGAGGAACACCGGUGGCGAAGGCGGGUCUCUGGGCCGUAACUGACGCUGAGGAGCGAAAGCGUGGGGAGCGAACAGG